UACGUAGGGGGCAAGCGUUGUCCGGAUUUAUUGGGCGUAAAGAGCGUGUAGGCGGUUCGGUAGGUCCGUUGUGAAAACUCGAGCUCAACCUCGAGACGCCGAUGGAAACCCUCGAACUAGAGUCCGGAAGAGGAGAGUGGAAUUCCUGGUGUAGCGGUGAAAUGCGCAGAUACCAGGAAGAACACCCGUGGCUAAGGCGGCUCUCUAGUACGGUACUGACGCUGAGACGCGAAAGCGUGGGGAGCGAACAGG
rnacentral:rRNA from 1 species